AGAGUUUGAUCCUGGCUCAGGCAUGAACGCUAGCGGCAGGCUUAACACAUGCAAGUCGAAGGGUAACAGGGAAGAGCUUGCUCUUCUGCUGACGACUGGCGCACGGGUGAGUAACACGUAUGCAACCUGCCCUCCACAGGGGGACAACCUUCCGAAAGGGAGGCUAAUCCCGCGUAAAUCAUCGGGAGGCAUCUCCGGGUGAGGAAAGACACGUCGGUGGAGGAUGGGCAUGCGGCGCAUUAGCUUGUCGGCGGGGUAACGGCCCACCGAGGCUACGAUGCGUAGGGGUUCUGAGAGGAAGGUCCCCCACACUGGUACUGAGACACGGACCAGACUCCUACGGGAGGCAGCAGUGAGGAAUAUUGGUCAAUGGGCGGGAGCCUGAACCAGCCAAGCCGCGUGAAGGAAGAAGGCGCUAAGCGUCGUAAACUUCUUUUGCCGGGGAACAAAAGCCGUCACGCGUGGCGGUCCGAGUGUACCCGGAGAAAAAGCAUCGGCUAACUCCGUGCCAGCAGCCGCGGUAAUACGGAGGAUGCGAGCGUUAUCCGGAUUUAUUGGGUUUAAAGGGUGCGUAGGCGGUCUGUUAAGUCAGCGGUAAAAGCCCGGGGCUCAACUCCGGCGAGCCGUUGAAACUGGCGGACUAGAGAAGGCGAGAAGUACGCGGAAUGCGCAGUGUAACCGGUGAAAUGCAUAGAUAUUGCGCAGAACUCCGAUUGCGAAGGCAGCGUACCGGCGCCUGACUGACCCUGAGGCACGAAAGCGUGGGUAUCGAACAGGCUUAGAUACCCUGGUAGUCCACGCAGUAAACGAUGAAUGCCGCCUGUUCGGGUCAAGUGCGACCUGACUGCCGAAGCGAAAGCGAUAAGCAUUCCACCUGGGGAGUACGCCGGCAACGGUGAAACUCAAAGGAAUUGACGGGGGCCCGCACAAGCGGAGGCACAUGUGGUUUAAUUCGAUGAUACGCGAGGAACCUUACCCGGGCUCAAACGGGAGCGGAAUGCCGGAGAGACCCGUCAGUCUACGGACCGCUUCCGAGGUGCUGCAUGGUCGUCGUUAGCUCGUGCCGUGAGGUGUCGGCUUAAGUGCCAUAACGAGCGCAACCCCUGCCGACUGUUGCUAACGAGUCAUGUCGAGGACUCAGUCGGGACUGCCGGCGCAAGCCGCGAGGAAGGCGGGGAUGACGUCAAAUCAGCACGGCCCUUACGUCCGGGGCGACACACAUGUUACAAUGGGCGGCACAGAGGGAAGCCAGGUGGCGACACCGCGCGGAACCCGAAAGCCGUUCUCAGUCUCGGAUCGGAGUCUGCAACCCGACUCCGUGAAGCUGGAUUCGCAUAGUAAUCGCGCAUCACCCAUGGCGCGGAGAAUACGUUCCCGGGCCUUGUACACACCGCCCGUC
rnacentral:rRNA from 1 species